ensembl:lncRNA
UUUUUAAGUGACAUCUGGAUAUGAAAUAGAUCUGUUACACUAUCAGCCUUUGUUGUAUGUUUAUACACUUUUUCACAGUUUUUUGUCAUUUUUGGCUUGCCAUACAAGUCAUUAUUAAAUAAAACACAUCAUAUGGGUUACUGUAAUUUGACAUGCAUUGCAACCUGUGGUAUGUCGAUGGCCCAAUCCAGAUGAUAUCAGAUAAGAUGUGUGUUUCUCUUUCUUUACAGAUCAGAUCUGUGCCAGAUAUCGACAGUAUAAACGCAGCCUUUUAUGUGUGGUUUCACGGCAGAUCUCGGGCCCUCGGCUCCACAGAUGAACUGUGGGCUGUGAUCUUCGGUGCUGGCAGGGCUUCAGCUCGCCCUCAUGUCUGCCAUCUGAUUCUACACCUGCCAAACUCCACGGCCCCCAUCUGCCCUUUACAACAUGACCUCAUCGGCACGGCACGUUUGAAGUGCUCUAGAAAGACUGCCAGCAUGUUCUGGAUUCUCUGCCUCAAUCCCGAGACGCUCACAAGAGAAUACAACAUCUAAAAAAACAUCAUUUUAUCUAAUAAAAGGUGAUUUCUG